rnacentral:rRNA from 1 species
AUUAUUUACCAGGAACAGUUUCCACUACCCCUACUAUGUUACGACUUAUCUUAUUUUACCAACAAGAGCGACGGGCGAUAUGUACGCGCUAUAAAACCUGAUUCAUAUAAACAUAUUAAUUAUUUACAUUACUAUUAAGUCCAAUUUCAAAAAUACUUUACAUUACUUAAUCCAUUUAAAAAUUAUAAAUAGUAGCUCAUUUUAAUAACCUUUUUUAUUAGCUGCAUUUUGACUUGACAUAUUAGCAAACUCACUUUUAAGUUUUUUAAUAAUUCUCACGAAAUAAACUGACGACAGCAAUAUACAAACUGUUAAAUUAUUCAAAAAAAAGUAAGAGUUAAUUGAGGAUUAUCAAAUUAAUAAACAAGCUCCCCUAAGUGGAUAUAUAGCACCGCCAAGCUUUUUAAGUUUCAAAUAUUAUAUAACAAAAUAAUUUAUUUACACUACUUAAAUAAAAAAAAAUUUAAAAUAAAGAAUAAUAGGGUAUCUAAUCCUAGUUUUUUUAUAAUCUUAUUUUCAAAGCUUAAAUUCUAGAGAAACUUAAAUAAUAAUAUUAAUUUAAAAUUUUACCUAUAACUAAUAUUCUCAACCUCUCUAAUUAAAUACAUUAAUAAUUAUUACUUUUUUUUAUAUUAUAAAUUAUAUAAAUUUAAGAUAUAUGUAUAACCGCGAAUGCUGGCACAAAUUUAUUCAUCUAUAACUUAUAAUAACUAUAUCAAACUUUCAUUCAUUGUAUAAAAAUAAAUACUGCGUAAUCUAUUAAUUAUUAUCUUAAUAAAAUAUUAAUAAUAAAUAUUAUUAAUUAUAUUAUAUUAAACAAUAAAACUAAUAAUAAUAAAGAUAAAACGAUACAAUUUAAAUCUAGCAUAUAUAAUUUUAAUAACAAUUUAUAUAAUAACCAAAGCCAAAUUAAUUAUAUAAAUAUAUAAAUAAUAAUUCAAAUUUAAUCUACACAUUAACUAUAAUAUAUUAUAUAUUUUA